rnacentral:rRNA from 1 species
UGGGGAAUAUUGGACAAUGGGCGAAAGCCUGAUCCAGCCAUGCCGCGUGUGUGAAGAAGGCCUUCGGGUUGUAAAGUACUUUCAGCGAGGAGGAAGGCGUUGUGGUUAAUAACCGCAACGAUUGACGUUACUCGCAGAAGAAGCACCGGCUAACUCCGUGCCAGCAGCCGCGGUAAUACGGAGGGUGCAAGCGUUAAUCGGAAUUACUGGGCGUAAAGCGCACGCAGGCGGUCUGUCAAGUCGGAUGUGAAAUCCCCGGGCUCAACCUGGGAACUGCAUCCGAAACUGGCAGGCUAGAGUCUUGUAGAGGGGGGUGGAAUUCCAGGUGUAGCGGUGAAAUGCGUAGAGAUCUGGAGGAAUACCGGUGGCGAAGGCGGCCCCCUGGACAAAGACUGACGCUCAGGUGCGAAAGCGUGGGGAGCAAACA